rnacentral:rRNA from 1 species
UGGGGAAUAUUGCACAAUGGGCGCAAGCCUGAUGCAGCCAUGCCGCGUGUAUGAAGAAGGCCUUCGGGUUGUAAAGUACUUUCAGCGGGGAGGAAGGGAGUAAAGUUAAUACCUUUGCUCAUUGACGUUACCCGCAGAAGAAGCACCGGCUAACUCCGUGCCAGCAGCCGCGGUAAUACGGAGGGUGCAAGCGUUAAUCGGAAUUACUGGGCGUAAAGCGCACGCAGGCGGUUUGUUAAGUCAGAUGUGAAAUCCCCGGGCUCAACCUGCGAACUGCAUCUGAUACUGGCAAGCUUGAGUCUCGUAGAGGGGGGUAGAAUUCCAGGUGUAGCGGUGAAAUGCGUAGAGAUCUGGAGGAAUACCGGUGGCGAAGGCGGCCCCCUGGACGAAGACUGACGCUCAGGUGCGAAAGCGGGGGGAGCAAACAGG